rfam:Clostridium sp. IEH 97212 scaffold_10, whole genome shotgun sequence.
UUACUCCUACUGUGUUUGUAAAGAAAGUUUAUGUUGAGCCAACACAUAUUAAUAGGGAAUUUAACUUUUUUUGUGGAAUUGAGACCUAAUAAAUUUUAGUUUAUUAGGGACAUGAAGCAAAAAAGAAAUGCCCACCUGGUUAAACAGGUUCAAAAAUAGCUUUCUAAACUACAUGGUGGGAGUUUU